rnacentral:antisense_RNA from 1 species
UUAGAACGGAUGUUCGAAAGAGCGUUCGAUCUGACCCUGGGAGUGCGUUUCGCGGCGUGACUUCCGGGCGCGGCACCCGCGAAGUGCCGCAUGCGUGGUCCGGGCAUUCGCGGGUUCGGGCCUCGCGACAAGGCAGGCCGCCGUUCA